rnacentral:rRNA from 1 species
CUUGCUGCUUUGCUGACGAGUGGCGGACGGGUGAGUAAUGUCUGGGAAACUGCCUGAUGGAGGGGGAUAACUACUGGAAACGGUGGCUAAUACCGCAUAACGUCGCAAGACCAAAGAGGGGGACCUUCGGGCCUCUUGCCAUCAGAUGUGCCCAGAUGGGAUUAGCUUGUUGGUGAGGUAACGGCUCACCAAGGCGACGAUCCCUAGCUGGUCUGAGAGGAUGACCAGCCACACUGGAACUGAGACACGGUCCAGACUCCUACGGGAGGCAGCAGUGGGGAAUAUUGCACAAUGGGCGCAAGCCUGAUGCAGCCAUGCCGCGUGUAUGAAGAAGGCCUUCGGGUUGUAAAGUACUUUCAGCGGGGAGG